AGUGGCGAACGGGUGAGGAAUACAUCGGAACGUGUCUAUAAGUGGGGGAUAACGCAUCGAAAGGUGUGCUAAUACCGCAUAAUCUCUCAGGAGAAAAGCAGGGGAUCGCAAGACCUUGCGCUUUAGGAGCGGCCGAUGCCUGAUUAGCUUGUUGGUAAGGUAAAAGCUUACCAAGGCUUCGAUCAGUAGCUGGUCUGAGAGGACGACCAGCCACACUGGGACUGAGACACGGCCCAGACUCCUACGGGAGGCAGCAGUGGGGAAUUUUGGACAAUGGGGGAAACCCUGAUCCAGCCAUGCCGCGUGAGUGAAGAAGGCCUUCGGGUUGUAAAGCUCUUUCAGCCGGAACGAAACGGUUACGAUUAAUACUCGUAAUUAAUGACGGUACCGGCAGAAGAAGCACCGGCUAACUACGUGCCAGCAGCCGCGGUAAUACGUAGGGUGCGAGCGUUAAUCGGAAUUACUGGGCGUAAAGGGUCCGCAGGUUGUUUUGUAAGUCAGAUGUGAAAGCCCCGGGCUUAACCUGGGAACUGCGUCUGAAACUACAAGGCUAGAGUAUGGCAGAGGGGGGUGGAAUUCCGCGUGUAGCAGUGAAAUGCGUAGAUAUGUGGAAGGACAACGAUGGCGACGCAGCCUCCUGGGUCCAUACUGACGCUGAGGGACGAAAGCAUGGGGAGCCACCAGAAUAGAAUACCCUGGUAGUCCAUGUCG
rnacentral:rRNA from 1 species